rnacentral:rRNA from 1 species
UCCCAGACUCCUACGGGAGGCAGCAGUGGGGAAUAUUGCACAAUGGGGGAAACCCUGAUGCAGCGACGCCGCGUGAGUGAAGAAGUAUUUCGGUAUGUAAAGCUCUAUCAGCAGGGAAGAAAAUGACGGUACCUGACUAAGAAGCCCCGGCUAACUACGUGCCAGCAGCCGCGGUAAUACGUAGGGGGCAAGCGUUAUCCGGGUUUACUGGGUGUAAAGGGAGCGUAGACGGUCCUGCAAGCCAGAUGUGAAAGCCCGGGGCUCAACCCCGGGACUGCAUUUGGAACUGUAAGGCUAGAGUGUCGGAGAGGCAGGCGGAAUUCCUAGUGUAGCGGUGAAAUGCGUAGAUAUUAGGAGGAACACCAGUGGCGAAGGCGGCUUACUGGACUGUAACUGACGUUGAGGCUCGAAAGCGUGGGGAGCAAACAGGAUUAGAUACCCCUGUAAA